rnacentral:rRNA from 1 species
UACGAGGGGGGCAAAUGUUGUUCGGAAUCACUGGGCGUAAAGGGAGCGUAGGCGGGUUUCUAAGUCAGGGGUGAAAUCCUGGAGCUCAACUCCAGAACUGCCUUUGAUACUGAAGAUCUUGAGUUCGGGAGAGGUGAGUGGAACUGCGAGUGUAGAGGUGAAAUUCGUAGAUAUUCGCAAGAACACCAGUGGCGAAGGCGGCUCACUGGCCCGAUACUGACGCUGAGGCACGAAAGCGUGGGGAGCAAACAGG